rnacentral:piRNA from 1 species
GCCAUCUGAGGUGUCGACAGAGAAAGAGA